UACGGAGGGACCUAGCGUUGUUCGGAAUUACUGGGCGUAAAGCGCGCGUAGGCGGCUUUGUAAGUUAGAGGUGAAAGCCCGGAGCUCAACUCCGGAACUGCCUUUAAGACUGCAUCGCUUGAAUCCGGGAGAGGUGAGUGGAAUUCCCAGUGUAGAGGUGAAAUUCGUAGAUAUUGGGAAGAACACCGGUGGCGAAGGCGGCUCACUGGCCCGUAACUGACGCUCAUGCACGACAGCGUGGGGAUCAAACAGG
rnacentral:rRNA from 1 species